rnacentral:rRNA from 1 species
GCAUAUCAAUAAGCGGAGGAAAAGAAAAUAACAAUGAUUCCCUUAGUAACGGCGAGUGAAGGGGGAUAAGCUCAAAUUUUAAAUCUACCAGGUUAACCUGGUCGAGUUGUAAUUUGAAGAAGCGUUUUCCGCGUCCGGGUCGGCCCAAAUCCUUUGGGAUAAGGUAUCAUGGAGGGUGAGAAUCCCGUUCGGCUGACCUUAGGAUGCUUUACGAUACGCUCUCAAAGAGUCGAGUUGUUUGGGAUUGCAGCUCAAAAUGGGAGGUAAAUUUCUCCUAAGGCUAAAUACCGGCGAGAGACCGAUAGCGAACAAGUACCGUGAGGGAAAGAUGAAAAGAACUUUGAAAAGAGAGUUAAAUAGUACGUGAAAUUGUUGAAAGGGAAACGAUUGAAGUCAGUCGUACCGGCGGGAAAUCAGCUUCUCGAGUGGGGGUUCGCGGGUGCGUGGAGCUUCGGCCUUCGUCGCUUGUGACACCUUUUGCUUCUGGAGCGUACUUUUCCGUGUGGUAGGUCAACAUCGGUUUCGAUUGCCAUAAAAUGACCGGAGGAAUGUGGCUUCGAUCUUGUAUUGGAGUGUUAUAGCCUCUGGUAGAUGUGGUGGUUGGGAUCGAGGAUUGCAACGAAUACCCUUUGGGCUAUCCGCCUGACCUCUGAAAGUCGCUUGGGUACCGAAAGCUUGCUUACGGUCAUUUAAGUUGGCGGUCAAAAGGUUAGAACGUGAUUAAAUUCGUUAAGGAUGUUGACGUA